AGUGAACGCUGGCGGUAGGCCUAACACAUGCAAGUCGAACGGCAGCACAGUAAGAGCUUGCUCUUACGGGUGGCGAGUGGCGGACGGGUGAGGAAUACAUCGGAAUCUACUUUUUCGUGGGGGAUAACGUAGGGAAACUUACGCUAAUACCGCAUACGACCUACGGGUGAAAGCAGGGGAUCUUCGGACCUUGCGCGAUUGAAUGAGCCGAUGUCGGAUUAGCUAGUUGGCGGGGUAAAGGCCCACCAAGGCGACGAUCCGUAGCUGGUCUGAGAGGAUGAAGCGCAACCGGGGAAGUGAGACGGGUCCGAGACACCUGGGGGGGGCGCAGGGGGGGAAUAUUGGGCGAGGGAGGAAGGCGUAAUCCCGCAAUACGGGGGGGAUGAAGAGGCCCUUCGGUUUGGAAAGCUUUUUUGUUGGGAAAAAAGAAAAGCGGGUGAAACCCCGCAUUUUAGGACGGUACCGAAAGAAUAAGCCCCGGCUAACUCCGUG
rnacentral:rRNA from 1 species